rnacentral:misc_RNA from 1 species
UCUCCGUAGGUGAACCUGCGGAGGGAUCAUUAACACGUUCCAUACCAAACUUAUCAACUCAACUGUGAAUUUUGUAUCUGCCUGCUGUCAUAUCAAGUGUAUGGUGUAUACUGAGAUCCUGGAUGAAGGUGGGGGGAUGUUUUGAUGGACACUAGUUAAAUAGUUGUCUGUUCUCUCCUCAUACGGGUCGAGUAUACGAUGACAGUCUCUGAGCUGUCAGCUAUCCUUGAUAUGGCUAGGCCCAAUAUAUACACAAUCAGUGGUAGAUCAUAGAUCGCUGGUUGUGUAUCCACACGACCCUUUUCUUACUAGCUGUAUAUAUAUACACUAGUCCGAAAUUGUAGUAUAAUAUUGAUUUAUAAUAGUUGUCAUCUUCGCUUUCGAGCGUUGUUAGAUGUCGCUAAUAUCUACUAUCGAUAUAUUAUAGAUAGUGAACAUAGCAUAACUCUUAGCAAUGGAUAUCUUGGUUCUC